CUCCGCUGUUUCAUAAUUCUCUGGAGACAACCCAGACUAAACACAGAAGCAAUGCCUUGGGGAAGCAUUAGGAACCUCCUAGGUGACUGGACAGCUUCAUUGGGAGUAGAAGCCUGUGCAUCUCUGGGGACUAGAAGGCACUCUAGAUACCUUUCUCUGAAGCUGUCCCCCAUGCCAUUGCAGAGGGAGGAGGGCCAUGUGGAGAAACGAAAGCAGCAGUCAGGUGUGGUCUAAAAGAAAAUCACAAGUUGCUGAGGGCACACAGUGUACAAGCCCAGGAGCCAGCAAGCACAACCCUUAUCAAGGUGAUAAGGACUGCUCAGGAUACCACCCAGUGUGUCAGUCCACUUCCUGUUGCCUGCAAGACUGUCAGCUAUUCCUCCAGAACAUGCCUGCAUGUUGCCAUGCUCCCCGCCAUGGUGAUAAUGGACUGAACCUCUGAAACUCUGGGUUUUAAGUUAUCCCUUCCAGGGCAAAUUAUGGAUUGUGGAGGACAUCAGCAUCUCGGUUGCAGAGACCACGUUAUGUGCUCCUGAGCCCAUCCAGAGGCAGCAGGGCCAGCCCUAAUUCUCUUAGCUGUGACUUGGUGCCAAUGUUGUGUCGUCCUGCUCCGUAUCCUGGGGAUUCUGCAGUGAACAGAGCAGUAGUAUUCCAGCUCUAGUAGAUAUUCUGAAUUCACUGAGCUCAGGUCACCUGGGGUGAUAUAACAGCAUGCUUUCUGUGGCUCUGAGAAGUGGCCAUUGACAACAGCUCCCUGGACCAGAGCCGUGGCUACUGGGACAGCAGAGUUUAGUGGCUGAAAGUGGAGGCACACCUGCUUCCUACCGCCACCACUCACUGACUGCAAUAUGGGACACAGCUUCUUGAACACUAGCACUCAAUGGUGCUUACCACACAGAGCUGGCAUACAGAUUAUGCAAAGUGCAGGUCAGAGCUGAAGUUGCUUCCUUCUACCUGGCAGAGCCCAGAAGAUGGACAUGGGAGACGUUAUUCGGGUGAUUUUAAGGGAAACCCAGUACUUCUGGGAACUACUGGAGCUGAUGAGGGUAAAAGUGACCUCCUGCUGUUGCUUAGAAGACCAUGGACCAUGGACAGAGAGUGUAGGGGUGAACAAGACUGAACUUGGUGGGGCUGGGGCUUCAGUUGUGUUCAAUUAAGAGUCAUCCUUCCAGAACAAAAAGGGAAUCUUGGGCAUCUUCUAACUGCAGGUGCCAUGUAUGGCCUGGAACCCUGCUGUCAUGCACCUCCCCCAUAGUAUACCCACUCACCGGGACCAAUGCCUGAAUUUGCAUGCUUCCUAUCCUGGGCAGGAUUGAACUGGUGCUUAUUUUAGGUCAUUCUUGGCCUCCCCUGGAUUCUGGUGUAUCUGAGGAAGUUUCAGUAUGCCUCCAAGACAAUCCGACUUCUGCCUGAUGACGCGUUUUGUCUAGAAAUAGGGUGGCAAAGAGUAUAUGGAGUUGGGGGCAGCAGUUCCUCUUCUAAGACUCCAAUGAGAUAGUAAAGACGCUAGGACCUGAGACCUCUAGACCCCCAACCUAUUCAUUCAUUCAAAUCACUUCUCUGUGAACCUAAUGCAUGCCAUGGACUAUGGAGGUACUGAAGAUGCAACAGUGACUUCAUGACAUUGUUGUCCUGCAGGAAUUCUAGACUCAGGGAAGGAGGUAGGGGUAAAAGAAAACUAAAGGGCAGUCCCAAGGAAGUUCUGAAUCCAGAUGUGACCUAUGGUCUUUCUCUGUUUCAGCUCUCUGCUUGUACAAUAGGGAUCAUGUUGUUCUGUUUGCAGCACAGGAUUGUGAAUACCUAUUCUACCAAUUAGAAUUACUAGCAGAAACUUAUCGUGGUGUCAG
rnacentral:lncRNA from 1 species